GAGACACCCUUCUGGGGCAAGACUUGCUUCAGUGGGGCUUUGGUGCUCACUGAGUCUGCCCCCUGAGUGUGUCCGU
rfam:Myotis lucifugus cont2.11538, whole genome shotgun sequence.